AGUGAACGCUAGCGGUAGGCCUAACACAUGCAAGUCGAACGGCAGCACAGUAAGAGCUUGCUCUUACGGGUGGCGAGUGGCGGACGGGUGAGGAAUACAUCGGAAUCUACUUUUUCGUGGGGGAUAACGUAGGGAAACUUACGCUAAUACCGCAUACGACCUACGGGUGAAAGCAGGGGGUCUUCGGACCUUGCGCGAUUGAAUGAGCCGAUGUCGGAUUAGCUAGUUGGCGGGGUAAAGGCCCACCAAGGCGACGAUCCGUAGCUGGUCUGAGAGGAUGAUCAGCCACACUGGAACUGAGACACGGUCCAGACUCCUACGGGAGGCAGCAGUGGGGAAUAUUGGACAAUGGGCGCAAGCCUGAUCCAGCCAUACCGCGUGGGUGAAGAAGGCCUUCGGGUUGUAAAGCCCUUUUGUUGGGAAAGAAAAGCAGCAGGUUAAUACCCCGCUGUUCUGACGGUACCCAAAGAAUAAGCACCGGCUAACUUCGUG
rnacentral:rRNA from 1 species